GCGUUGUCCGGAUUCAUUGGGCGUAAAGCGUGCGUAGGCGGCUCGGUAAGUCGGGCGUGAAAUGCCGGGGCUCAACCCCGGGACUGCGUCCGAUACUUCCGAGCUGGAGGUAGGUAGGGGAGAUCGGAAUUCCUGGUGUAGCGGUGAAAUGCGCAGAUAUCAGGAGGAACACCGGUGGCGAAGGCGGAUCUCUGGGCCUUACCUGACGCUGAGGCGCGAAAGCUAGGGGAGCGAACAGG
rnacentral:rRNA from 1 species